rnacentral:lncRNA from 1 species
AACAAUUAUCCGGUUCCCAAGCACCAGGUACACUACCUAGUGGAACUGUGCUGAAUCCAAGAGAACAUAAUAAUGUGAAUGUUGUUGUAACUAGAAGUGGUAAGUCCGCUGAGAAUUCUGAGAAUAAACAGGUGGAAGAGGAUGAGUUGCUAGAAGUGGAUUUAGAAAUAAGAGAUCAUGAGAAAAAACAAGAAGAGGUUGUUGUAUUACAAGUUGUGGAGGAAGAUAAGCAGAAAGACCCUAAACCAACCAUCAGACUCCCAUAUCCUCAAAGGAAAAAGAAUAAUAAUAAUAAUGAGAAA